AAUUGGUCUGCAUUAUGGAAAAUACAUUUCAUUGGAGUCUCAGCUUAGUGUGAAACACAAUCGGCUGAAGAUAAUAAUAAAGUUUCAAGUAAACUUAUUCAUAAUUUUAUACGCUUUAACAGGAUAUUUGCAAAAGUCAAUAUUUGUACUCAUUUAUAACCGGUUAAAUAAAUAAUGUUUAAAAUUUAAAUGGUUCGAAAUUUGCUCGCAUAUCAUGUUCCAACUUUACAUAUAUAAAUCCGUAGAAAUAAAUAUUGUCUUUCAUUUUCUUGGUGGCUCGAAUCCUGAGCUACGUGUUGGAUAGAAAAUUGCUGCUGGAUUUGUACAAGCGAACCCUCGCUUGUUCUCCAACAUCGAUCUAAAAGGAAGUUUCAUCUUUCUAGAUCUUCCUAUUUGAGCGAAACGUUGGGCACUUCAAGCUAUUAAUAACUAUUUUAAAUAUAUCACAAUGCCGGAAAUGUCUUGUAUGCACACAUUAUGGGAAUUUUGCCGCAGGUGCCACACUGAAAUUUCGUCUUCGACACAGGCGGCUUCCGUUUAGCUGUUGUCUUGGCUGCUGCCGUCU